rnacentral:ncRNA from 1 species
GAUAGAGGAGCGAAGACCAUGAGUAGGCGUCAGGAGCCGCCAGCCAGGAUUGGCGCAGAAAGGGGUUAUCGCCGAAGCAGAUGUCCUUUGGCAAGGGGCAAUGCUGGGCUUAUGCCGAACAGGCAUAAGACUGUCACCUGAACCGCAGGUGGAGUGCUAUCUU